rnacentral:lncRNA from 1 species
CUGUGCUGCCAUAGUCUCUGCAGCACACCCCGUUCCUGCUAAAGGCCCCCUGCAGACCGGCUGCUUCCUCAUGGACCUGGGAGAGGCCUGGACCUUGGAGGCACAUCUAACUCUCCAAACCAUCUUCCUCUUCUCCAGGAAGCUAAAGACUUUUCCAGUGGACUCACCUACAUUUUAUUGA